AAGAAAGAAACAUGAACCCUGUUCUGCACAGGGCAUGUCCGUGCAGGACACGUUGUAUUUUUGUUCAGCGGCAGCUAAGAGGGCAUACAUGAGAGCAGCU